rnacentral:rRNA from 1 species
AUUGAACGCUGGCGGCAUGCUUUACACAUGCAAGUCGAACGGCAGCGCGGGCUUCGGCCUGGCGGCGAGUGGCGAACGGGUGAGUAAUGCAUCGGAACGUGCCCAGUAGUGGGGGAUAGCCCGGCGAAAGCCGGAUUAAUACCGCAUACGACCUGAGGGUGAAAGCGGGGGACCGAAAGGCCUCGCGCUAUUGGAGCGGCCGAUGUCGGAUUAGCUAGUUGGUGGGGUAAAGGCUUACCAAGGCGACGAUCCGUAGCUGGUCUGAGAGGACGACCAGCCACACUGGGACUGAGACACGGCCCAGACUCCUACGGGAGGCAGCAGUGGGGAAUUUUGGACAAUGGGGGCAACCCUGAUCCAGCCAUGCCGCGUGCGGGAAGAAGGCCUUCGUGUUGUAAAACGCUUUUGUUCGGGAAGAAAUCCUCUGGGCUAAUACCCCGGGGGGAUGACGGUACCGGAAGAAUAAGCACCGGCUAACUACGUG